ACCAGACAUGGUAGUGCAUGCCUGUAAUCCCAGCUACUCAGGAAGCUGAGGCAGGAGGAUCACAAGUUGGAGGCCAGCCUAGGCAACUUAAGUGAGACCCUGUCUCAA
rnacentral:sRNA from 1 species